rnacentral:rRNA from 1 species
AGCGUAGACGGUGUGGCAAGUCUGAUGUGAAAGGCGUGGGCUCAACCUGUGGACUGCAUUGGAAACUGUCAUACUUGAGUGCCGGAGGGGUAAGCGGAAUUCCUAGUGUAGCGGUGAAAUGCGUAGAUAUUAGGAGGAACACCAGUGGCGAAGGCGGCUUACUGGACGGUAACUGACGUUGAGGCUCGAAAGCGUGGGGAGCAAACA